rnacentral:misc_RNA from 1 species
GAUGAAGAACGUAGCGAAAUGCGAUAAGUAAUGUGAAUUGCAGAAUUCAGUGAAUCAUCGAAUCUUUGAACGCACAUUGCGCCCGCCAGUAUUCUGGCGGGCAUGCCUGUUCGAGCGUCAUUUCAACCAUCAAGCCCCAGGCUUGUGUUGGGGACCUGCGGCUGCCGCAGGCCCUGAAAACCAGUGGCGGGCUCGCUGUCACACCGGGCGUAGUAGAUUUUAUCUCGCUCAGGGCGUGCUGCGGGAUCCGGCCGUUAAAAAGCCUUUUUUACCCAAGGUUGACCUCGGAUCAGGUAGGAAGACCCGCUGAACUUAAGCAUAUCAAUAAGCGGAGGA